AGGUGCCUUCUUUAUUUUUAUUCACAACAGAACACAGAAGUAUAGUUGAGAAAAAACAAAACACAAUCCUGUCGAGAUUUAGGAACCGUACAACCGAGAAAAUCGAAUGAACACGUGGAAAAAUUCUUGUCAAUAGUGAAAUCUUCAAAGGUCUAGCUCGUUCCCUGCACGACUUCGAUUUAAUCCCGGUAGAAUCUUCCCUCUAGCUAUGUCAAAGUUGACUGUUGGCUCUUUUCUGCACAAAUUCCAUUACCAAAAAAUAAGGUAGUAUACCUUUUACUUCACUGGACAGUUCAGCCUUCAACUGGAAACUGAGAGUGUGUGACCAUAGUGAGUGGCAUUUUUUUGGGUUUCAGCACACAAAUAAGGUAAGAAAAGAGUUUAUCUAUACAAUUAUUCAUAUCCCUUUGUUGUUGAACUGGUUUCACAUAUCUCUUUAUUAAGCUUCAAAUAUCAGUCAAACCUACUCAAUUAGAAUAUUAAUACAUUUUAAUAAGGCAUCCACACCCACAAACAGUGCUCGAACUUUUGUAUUCUAGGGUAGCCCAAUUUGUUACUAAGUGUGCAGUACAUGACAGUGAUAUGUAUACAAAAUAAAUUUUUAGUGAUUUUUGUCUAGGCUAAAACCAUUACCAUCUCAGACCGACCAUGAAUAUCUACAGUUACCUUAAAAGUGUUGAUGUUGAUUCUUUUGUUUUGUUUUUCAAUUAUAGUUGUUGUUAACAUGAUUAAUAUUUUCUCUAUUAGAGCAAUUAGCAACAUUGUAGUUGCUGGCUGCAUCAUAUGUAGAACUGAGUUGUCUACAUUAACUCUUCCUAAGACCUGUUUCAAGAGUAGCUACAAAAAUUUCAGCUGUCAGUCGAAGUGUUCUUCACUUGUUGAUAUUUGCUGGCAACGCUACUUUUAUCAGGCUACACUGGACGACACAACACACAAGGUUACGAAAAUGAAUUUGUAUUGACGUUCGAUCGACGAUACACACCAACAUGACAGAAAGUUCUCCGAUGUUUAUGUGGUCAGUAUGUUAUGAAUGAACUAUGUAUAUUUUUGAAUGAUUUCUUCAUAACAGCCCAUGGAAAAAUGAGGUUGAAGACGCGCAAUGGGUAUCGAUGAAUGAUAUAUCACGCUCGGAUAAUCAAGCGACUUAACAGUUAAAGGUCAGCAGGUGUUUGCUAUUGAGGCUUAUUGGGUGUUAGAUGAUUAUUUACCUAUACCGUUUUCUUAAAGCACGAAGAUGGAGAAGAUGAUUGAGAUCUACCGAGAGAUUGGUGCAAUGACAAGUCUAUUCUACUAAAAAUAUGUUAAUGUGGGUUAGCUAGAAAACUAGCGAUAAUCGCUUUUCGCGGUUGAUUGAAAAUUGGACACUGCACCAAGAGCUCACAUCUACGCAUCACCUGCAAACACGCAUUUAACAAGAUAAAUUGAAGAAAAAGAUAAGGAGACUAAAAAUUGCGUUUUUUUUGUCUUUUCCCUAAUAAUUCGUAUGACAAAUCAUACGAAUUAACGUCUGAUGCAUGGCUGAAUAAUAUAUUCAAGAAAAAUAAAAAAGGCGUGUAACAACGAUCAGAAUAAAGAAGAAGUUUCCGCGUCA